AUUGAACGCUGGCGGAAUGCUUUACACAUGCAAGUCGAACGGCAGCACGGACUUCGGUCUGGUGGCGAGUGGCGAACGGGUGAGUAAUGUAUCGGAACGUGCCCAGUCGUGGGGGAUAACGUAGUGAAAAUUACGCUAAUACCGCAUACGAUCUAUGGAUGAAAGCGGGGGAUCGCAAGACCUCGCGCGAUUGGAGCGGCCGAUAUCAGAUUAGGUUGUUGGUGGGGUAAAGGCCCACCAAGCCAACGAUCUGUAGCUGGUCUGAGAGGACGACCAGCACACUGGAACUGAGACACGGUCCAGACUCCUACGGGAGGCAGCAGUGGGAAUUUUGGACAAUGGGCGAAAGCCUGAUCCAGCCAUUCCGCGUGCAGGAUGAAGGCCCUCGGGUUGUAAACUGCUUUUGUACAGAACGAAAAGGUUUCUACUAAUACUAGGAGCUCAUGACGGUACUGUAAGAAUAAGCACCGGCUAACUACGUGCCAGCCGCCGCCGUAA
rnacentral:rRNA from 1 species